GUGGGGAAUAUUGCACAAUGGGCGCAAGCCUGAUGCAGCGACGCCGCGUGAGGGAUGACGGCCUUCGGGUUGUAAACCUCUUUCAGUUGGGAAGAAGCCGCUUCGGUGGUGACGGUACUAGCAGAAGAAGCGCCGGCUAACUACGUGCCAGCAGCCGCGGUAAUACGUAGGGCGCAAGCGUUAUCCGGAAUUAUUGGGCGUAAAGAGCUCGUAGGCGGUUUGUCGCGUCUGCCGUGAAAGUCCGAGGCUUAACUUCGGAUCUGCGGUGGGUACGGGCAGACUAGAGUGCAGUAGGGGAGACUGGAAUUCCUGGUGUAGCGGUGAAAUGCGCAGAUAUCAGGAAGAACACCGAUGGCGAAGGCAGGUCUCUGGGCUGUAACUGACGCUGAGGAGCGAAAGCAUGGGGAGCGAACAGGAUUAGAUACCCGUGUAGUCC
rnacentral:rRNA from 1 species